UACGAAGGGGGCUAGCGUUGCUCGGAAUUACUGGGCGUAAAGGGCGCGUAGGCGGAUACUUAAGUCGGGGGUGAAAGCCCAGGGCUCAACCCUGGAAUAGCCUUCGAUACUGGGUAUCUUGAGUUCGGGAGAGGUGAGUGGAACUGCGAGUGUAGAGGUGAAAUUCGUAGAUAUUCGCAAGAACACCAGUGGCGAAGGCGGCUCACUGGCCCGAUACUGACGCUGAGGCGCGAAAGCGUGGGGAGCAAACAGG
rnacentral:rRNA from 1 species